ACGCACGCUGGCGGCCGGCUUAACACAUGCAAGUCGAACGGAUCCUUCGGGAUUAGUGGCAGACGGGUGAGUAACGCGUGGGAACGUACCCUUUGCUACGGAAUAACUCAGGGAAACUUGAGCUAAUACCGUAUGUGCCCUACGGGGGAAAGAUUUAUCGGCAAAGGAUCGGCCCGCGUUGGAUUAGCUAGUUGGUGGGGUAAUGGCCUACCAAGGCGACGAUCCAUAGCUGGUCUGAGAGGAUGAUCAGCCACACUGGGACUGAGACACGGCCCAGACUCCUACGGGAGGCAGCAGUGGGGAAUAUUGGACAAUGGGCGCAAGCCUGAUCCAGCCAUGCCGCGUGAGUGAUGAAGGUCUUAGGAUUGUAAAGCUCUUUCACCGGUGAAGAUAAUGACGGUAGCCGGAGAAGAAGCCCCGGCUAACUUCGUG
rnacentral:rRNA from 1 species